UUUGGUAUGCGCAUGGGACGUGAUCCGCUCGUUUCCCUGGACCGAAUAUUCGGCCCAGAUCCGGAACGAGGUGAGACCUCGAAUUCCAGCGGACGACGCGGAACCGUCUCCCCCUCGUCUCUCUCUCGCAACCCCAUCCCCUCUCGCCCUCUCCUCUCUGGUGCGCCGCCUCCCCUCGUCCCUCUCCUCCCUCGAUUCGCGCCACCGGCAGUUCCUCUCCCCCAUCUGCACCGAUUUUUGCCGGAUGCGUUCAUGCUAAACUCAAGAUGGCAAACUCUUCAUGUGAAUAGAAAACAGUGAGAAUUUUUUUUCCUGUAUGAACCGUAGAUCCUUUUGAGAUUAUAUCAAUUGAUGGUGCUGCAAAAGUGCAAAUACAAAUGAAAUGGCCGCUGAAAAUUUGAAUAAUUUGAUGCUAAAAAUGUGUGCAUGUUUGUCAA